rnacentral:SRP_RNA from 1 species
CCGUGCUCCACGGGGAAUUGCAAUCCCUCGACCGGAAGUUAACGCCGGGUGCAGAGCCUGUUGUGAGGGUUUGGCGGGCAGGGUAAAAGUUAAUAUUUUUGUUGAGGCUUAAGGUUGAAGCGGCGUAAAACUCCGAACCGUGUCAGGAUGGAAACAUAGCAGCACUAAGGUGACCUUUGCGGGUGAUUUAAUAUUGAGAAGAGAAAAUAUUUUCUGAUACUUUUGUCAGGCAAAUUCGAUAGACAGUGGCACGG